rnacentral:lncRNA from 10 species
CUCAGGAGUAGGUUUUUGAUAAAAGAGUAAGUUCAGCCCCCUUCCUCUCUGUUUCUCCUUUGAGUGUUCUCUUGCCAUUCCACCUUCUGCCAUGAAAUAAUACAACAAGAAGGCCCUCAUCAGAUGCCAAACAGAUGAUGGUGCCAUGCUCUUGAACAUCCCAGCCUCCAGAAUUAUUCAUCCUCUACUGAUUCCAGGAUUAGGACAUCAUCAUAACAUAGCAGGAAAUUCACAAUCCUAGAGAUGGGGGUAUGGUGAGAUGCAAGAGCAUUAGAGGACUAUGGAAAUUAUGGGAGCAUGACAUUCUGAAAUUGCACGACUAAGGAAUUGGAAAUAUUUCUCAGGACAUGAUGAUUAUCUGGACACUGGCAAUGAAUCUUGAUCAUUCACCUCGUGCUAAACUGGAGCACAGAGAGGAAAACUCACCGAAAACCAAACACUCUCUAAGGGGUA